GUUCAUCUUUGCCAAGCGCAAACCAGUAUAGACGGUAUCAAUAAAUUGUGGGGGAGGGUCAUGUCUCUUUUCCCAAUCAUUUUGUAGGGUCAUAGAAAAAUGAAUUGCUGGCAAAGGGAGGGUCUAGUCUAUUUUGACUAAAGAUCCCAAAACUCCUCCGGUAGCCCCUUAAAUAAAAAACAAACAUUCCUUACCUACA